CAUGCAGCCCUCACUGGCUUGCCUAAACUCAGUAAGCGGCCUUCUGCCCAAAAUUAUUGCCCGCCCCGGCUUAGAGCCCUAAAGCAAUGCUU